rnacentral:rRNA from 1 species
GAUGAACGCUAGCUACAGGCUUAACACAUGCAAGUCGAGGGGUAACGAGAGGAAAGCUUGCUUUCCUUGUCGACGACCGGCGCACGGGUGAGUAACGCGUAUCCAACCUGCCCCCAACUAGGGAAUAACCUUGCGAAAGUAAGACUACUACCCUAUAAUUUCCUCAGAUGUCAUCUGACGAGGAAUAAAGAUUUAUCGGUUGUGGAUGGGGAUGCGUCUGAUUAGCUUGUUGGCGGGGUAACGGCCCACCAAGGCAACGAUCAGUAGGGGUUCUGAGAGGAAGGUCCCCCACAGUGGAACUGAGACCCGGUCCAAACUCCUACGGGAGGCAGCAGUGAGGAAUAUUGGUCAAUGGGCGGAAGCCUGAACCAGCCAAGUAGCGUGCAGGAUGACGGCCCUAUGGGUUGUAAACUGCUUUUAUACAGGAAUAAAGUUAGCCACGUGUGGUUAUUUGUAGGUACUGUAUGAAUAAGGACCGGCUAAUUCCGUGCCAGCAGCCGCCGUAA